rnacentral:rRNA from 1 species
UUGAAGCUAAGAAAUUUUAGAUUUAAACUAGGAUUAGAUACCCUAUUAUACUAAAAUUAAAUAUUUUUAUACUUAAGCAUUAAUAGAUAUUUUCUUUAAAUUUAAAGAAUUUGGCGGUGAUUUAAUCUUAUUAGAGGAACCUGUUUUGUAGUCGAUACUCCACGUAAUAUCUUACUUAAGUUUGUAUACCGUCAUUAAUUUAAGAUGAUCUUUAAUAAAAAGAUAAAUCAUUAAAAUUAAAGUAAAUUAUUAUGUAAAUUAGAUCAAGGUGCAGCUUAUAAAUAAGGAAAAAUGGGUUACAAUAAAUAUUUAUUUACUACGGAUUAAUUUUUAUGAAGGAGGAUUUAAUUGUAUAUAGGUUUAAUAUGCCUAUGAGAUAUAAGCCCUAAAUCAUGU